GCUGUGUCUUUCCUGGAGCAGUUACAUUACAUGAAGCCCACGCACCCCACCCAUUCUAGCCGAAGUAUUAUUUAUUAGUCUCUGCAGACUAACCCAGUGGGGCCUCGUUGGACCAACACUGCUGGGGGAAGGUGCUGCUUUCAUAGGCCUGGGGACUGGCAUUGUGUUACAAAGUGGUUAAUUAGGGACAUGGAAAUUGUCAUACUGGAUUGGAUCAACAGACUGUCUAGUCCAGUAUUCUGCCUGACAUUUGCCAGCAACAGAUACUACAGAAGAAGCCCUUUCUGAAUGGGCAACUCAAGCUUGAUAGACCAUUAAGAAGAAUCAUCUCUCCAGAUAGCUCUUCCUGAGGAUGCCUCAAACAGCAAGGAGCCAGUGGCUACUCCAGUGAUUCAGUAAAACAUAUAAGAGCAAGUGAUAAUGACAUGUGACCUUGGAUUCCAUCUUUGUCAGUAAAUUUCCAAAGACAGCAGUUGUGGGCUUUGUCUGAUAAUUUUAUAUGCACAGGGAAGAGGAUAUAAAAAUCAGGAUCAUCUCCAUUUUGUGUAAUUCCUGCUCCAGUUUUCUAGAAUAUGGAUUUACAGCUAAACGGAGUAUUUUAAACAACAGGCCAAGGACUUUCUAAUCUUUUGAAAGUUAAGACAAACAUUAUUCCGUCACUGCUACAAGCCUGAUCAGAGAACUUUACAAACAUUUAUUUGUGUGUAUAUGUAAUU